rnacentral:rRNA from 1 species
GACAGAGGGUGCAAACGUUGUUCGGAAUUACUGGGCGUAAAGCGCGUGUAGGCAGCCUCGCAAGUCGGAUGUGAAAGCCCUGGGCUCAACCUAGGAAGUGCAUUCGAAACUGCGAGGCUGGAGUCCUGGAGAGGAAGGCGGAAUUCUCGGUGUAGAGGUGAAAUUCGUAGAUAUCGAGAGGAACACCGGUGGCGAAGGCGGCCUUCUGGACAGUGACUGACGCUGAGACGCGAAAGCGUGGGGAGCAAACAGG